GAUGAACGCUGGCGGCGUGCUUAACACAUGCAAGUCGAACGAAGCACUUUAUUUGAUUUCCUUCGGGACUGAUUAUUUUGUGACUGAGUGGCGGACGGGUGAGUAACGCGUGGGUAACCUACCUUGUACAGGGGGAUAACAGUUGGAAACGGCUGCUAAUACCGCAUAAGCGCACAGCAUCGCAUGAUGCAGUGUGAAAAACUCCGGUGGUAUAAGAUGGACCCGCGUUGGAUUAGCUAGUUGGUGAGGUAACGGCCACCAAGGCGACGAUCCAUAGCCGACCUGAGAGGGUGACCGGCCACAUUGGGACUGAGACACGGCCCAAACUCCUACGGGAGGCAGCAGUGGGGAAUAUUGCACAAUGGGCGAAAGCCUGAUGCAGCGACGCCGCGUGAGCGAAGAAGUAUUCGGUAUGUAAAGCUCUAUCAGCAGGGAAGAUAAUGACGGUACCUGACUAAGAAGCACCGGCUAAAUACGUGCCAG
rnacentral:rRNA from 1 species